rnacentral:rRNA from 1 species
UACGUAGGUGGCAAGCGUUGUCCGGAUUUACUGGGCGUAAAGAGCGCGCAGGCGGUCGGCCAAGUCGAGUGUGAAAGCCCCCGGCUCAACUGGGGAGGGUCAUUCGAUACUGAUCGACUCGAAGGCAGGAGAGGGAAGUGGAAUUCCCGGUGUAGUGGUGAAAUGCGUAGAUAUCGGGAGGAACACCAGUGGCGAAGGCGACUUCCUGGCCUGUUCUUGACGCUGAGGCGCGAAAGCUAGGGGAGCAAACGGG